UACGUAGGGUGCGAGCGUUGUCCGGAAUUACUGGGCGUAAAGAGCUCGUAGGUGGUUUGUCACGUCGUCUGUGAAAUUCCGGGGCUUAACCUCGGGCGUGCAGGCGAUACGGGCAAUACUUGAGUGCUGUAGGGGAGACUGGAAUUCCUGGUGUAGCGGUGGAAUGCGCAGAUAUCAGGAGGAACACCGAUGGCGAAGGCAGGUCUCUGGGCAGUAACUGACGCUGAGGAGCGAAAGCAUGGGUAGCGAACAGGAUUAGA
rnacentral:rRNA from 1 species